UGGCACGACCAGCAGGGGCCUCCAAAUCAAAUGCCUUUGCUGCAGUGACUGCAGUAAGGGCAGACAAAAAAAACUGAGCUACUAGUGGGUAUGAAUGGAUUGCACAAGUGCGAGUUCUUUUUCGUGUAAAACCUAAAAGGGUAAUAUAAAAACUAGAGCUGAUGUUACCAUUUGACUCUCAAGAGAUAAGAAGUUUUAUUUUCUCUCAAAAACACAGCGGUGUGAAAUGUGAAAUGAAUGGAAUCCCCAGUGAGAGAGAGAGAGAGAGAGAGAGAGGUGUGAGGCGGUUGGUUAGGGUUUUGGUGGGUGAAUGUGAUUCGUCAAAAGCCAUCUGUUUUGUGAUUUUAUCUCGAAGACAACUGCACCUGCUGCUACGCGAGGGGAUUGGUGGAAGCUGGCUGCUUGUCUUUGAUUUUAUCAGAAAAAAAAAACUCAUCAAGUAAUCAAAAGCCCACAUGUAUCCAUCCAUCCACCCAUUCAACUCUGAUGUUAUCCACAGAACACCGCAGAGCAAAAGGCCUGUUUCUCUCUCUCUCUCUCUCUCUCUCUCUCUCUCCCACCUUCAUACCUUCUUAUAUAUUAUGCAUUUUAUUUUUUUAUUAUUCCGAAUUUUUUAUGCCACUCAUGUCCCUGUACACUUGUAAAUCAUCUGAUGUUGUUCUUCUAAGUUACCUUCUGAUAUAGUUUGCUGAUCUAUCUGUAUCAUGCGUAUCUUUUUUACCAUAACAAUUAUUGUUAAUCCAUCUCAUUUGUUUGUGAAUUAAUCAUCUGCUGAAGUAUUUUGCUCCAAGAUGAUAUUUAGUUUGAUUUAUAUUUGUUAAAAGUUAGAGGUUUGACUUACUCCAAGUUUCUAUUUUGUUUAGAAAAGUGGUAAACUAGCACACUUGUUGGAAUUAAUGAUUUUUUAUUUUAUUUAGUGACGUUAGUGCUUGCGUAGCAUAUUUAUAUUUAUUUCUAUGGAAAAUGCUUCUCUCUAGAUUUUUUCUACCUAAUCCACCAAGUUCGACGAUCCGAACUAUUGAAAUUUGAUCCAACGAUUACAAACAGAUGCCCGCUUUAAAAGUUAUAAUAAUUUUAGUCGUUAGAUCAAAUUUCAAUAGUCUGGAUUCCCGAACUUAAUGGAUUAGGAGGAAGGGAUCAGGAGAGGAUCCUUUCCCAUUUCUAUGGCAAGAUUUGCUAUGUUCCAAUCAUGAAAACACCAUGUGGAGAUCAAUUUUAGCCUCUGUGGCAUAAUUUACAUUUGGAAUGACCCUAUAAAUUUUGCUAGCUAGUCAGAAGCUUGUCAAAUGAUCUACUUGGAUGAUUGCAUUUUAUUUAGAACCAUAUAUACUACUCAAAAACUGCUUUUCGUGAUGGUAUACAUUAGAAUUUUGGUGGCUAUACAUCAUAAAAUUCAUGGUAACUAAGAUAUAUAAGUAUAUUGAAAGAAAAAAAAAAUAGCUGAUUUUAAAAUAUUUGCAGUCUUUCAAUUGGUUUUCACUCAGUUUAGAUGAAAACUUGCUGCCACACCCAUCUGUUUACAUUGUUGCUCUUUAUGCAUAUAGUCUGGCAGACAUUUCUGACAUAGUCAAACAAUUUAAGGGACUAUUUGAACAGAUAUCAUAUGAGGAUGUCUUCCCUCUCCUUGUGGAUUUAACAAUUAUAACUUCUAGUUUAAAAAACUUUCUCAGUCUAUAGCAUAGUGUUUAGAGCAGACAUUGUCAGUGUAGGAUUUUGAAAAGAUCUAUAUCUACUAUGUAUUGUUGAUUUGUUAAAUUAUCUAUGUCGAGAAUAAUUUUCAUACGAGAUAUGAUAUCUCAACUUAUGAUGUAUUAUUGGCAUCAUGAUAUCUCAGGUGCCUAUUAUGAUAUAUUAUAUGACUGAUAUUUCAGAUGUAAUUAAGUUUCUAUCAAACUUCAUUUUCGUUGUAAUAUAAAGUGAUUUAUACACACUUUAUUUCACUUUACGCAUAUCUCUCUUAAUUUAGUCCUUAGUUCUCCUUUAUUUUGUUUAAUCCAAAAACUAAAUAAAAAAAGAUAUGGGGAAAAAUUAUUUUUCCCCGCUGUCACGGCUAUUGAAAUGUAAUCUUGUUCUUAGCCUAAGAAUAUGAUCCAGCCCAUAGAAAACUCAUGAAAUGUGCUAGAAAAUGCUAGCAAAAGGUUAUCGGUGAAGUGAUAUGCUAGAAAACUCUAGCAAAGUGCAGCAAUUGGUGGUAUAGUCAAGUCCACCGCCUUAUGCUUAAGAAAAUAUAAAAUGUUUUUGUUUGUGGUAGAAUCUAGAAACAUAUUGGCUGAAAUUGGAAAAGUGUGCAUGAUCAAUGCGCUAGAAAAUUCUAGUGAAUGUAUAAGUCGGCAAAGUAUGCCUAUAAAUAUAGGUAUGUGUGUGUGUUGUGAAGUAAGAACUAAGAAGAAGUGAGAGCAAGUAAGAGAGCAAGAAGUGUGAGAGUGUUUCCUCUUGUACUAAGUUUGUGUGAGAAUAAAAAAUUUUGUAUAACACUUUGAGUGUUCUUUCUCUUGCCUAUCAAUUCCGCUGCAUUUCAUUCUUCUUUGUGAGAUAAACAUCUCCAAAGUAGUGAAGCCUUUUUAAGUCCCAACAACGGCUUCUGGUAAACUCUUAUAUGAGAUACAGCACAGCAGCCAUGUCUCGUCACCACCAAUUAGAGUAAAGAAUGACAGUGAAAAAGUUGAUUAGAAAAGGCAGUAACAAGUGAAAAGAAAGAACUAAUAAUUUAAGAGAAGGUUUUGAGGGAGAGAUAAGAGAGAGGUAUGGAGAAUUUCUGUCUGUAACAUGCUGUGGCAUGCCUUUGCAAAAGCCAAGAGGUCCAAGUUCUUUGUUUCAUAAACAGAUUCAAAUCAAGUUGAACAACUUGUUUAAAACAGAAAAUUUAUAUGGUUUCCUUUCUCCACCAAAAACCAGAAAUUUAUAAUAGGAAGGUUAGAACGGUAGUGGAGAUUCUUCUGUCAAUCUUUGUGUAGGCUUCUGCUGUGACGUUUUUAGAACCUGGUCCCGUUUUACUUGCAGACAAGAUAUACUAGAACACCAUCCAAUUGUUUUAUGCCUAAAGUGUCUGUCCUUAAUGUCUUGAGUUAAUUACUAGAAAAAUUACAGUACCAAUGAUCAUCCAGUAUACGUGCAUUUAGACGAAGGACUUUGAAAUUGUAUGAAACUUCGAUCAAAUUGGUUAAGAAUGCAUUAUAAAAGUUAAGAUGGAGAGAACUGAAACCGGAUAUAUGCAAUACUUUUUAGGGAACUUGUAAGGUGUCAUUUAGAAAGUCCUUUGUUUAGCUUCUUUGCAAUGACUUUCUAGUUGUUUUUUGGAGUGCAAUGUUGACAAUUAAAACUAUAAUUUCUUAAAACUUCUAAUCCAAACAUAGUAUAUACUCUACUUACUGAUUUCAAUUGAAUUUGAGUUCUCUUUUCUCCUUUUGCUUCUACAUUUUUCUUAUUUUCUCUUACGGAUUAUUUACUAGCAUACGUUAUACAACAAUUGUUACGGAGGUGUCUGUCUAUGGACCGUGGCUUGCAUAUAUAUAUAUAUAUAUUGUGUGAAUUUGUGUCCUGGUGUUGCAUGCAUGCAUGCCAACUCCAUCUGCUAUCAUUUUCAUGGACAAUCGUCCAAAAUAUCCAAAAAUCAAUUUGUGAAAAAUAAACAUUUUCGAGUGAGUAGGCUAUAUAUAUAUUUCGAGCAAUGUCCUAGUUGUGCACGGCAAAUAUCGCUGCAUAAAGAUAUGGUCGAAUUUAUAUGGCCAUCGCUUUCACAUCAGAAUUUGUUCUGCUAGGCUUCCAUCCACUGACAAUAAUUUGGAAUAGAUUUUGAUUCUAUCUUAGUGUUGAUUUAAUGAGUAUUAACAAGCUUAUUAUUCUCAUUUCUCUAAAUUUAUACGACGAUUCCAAUGUAGGAUUUGUAUCUUUUUCUUAUUCAUUUCAAGUCACUUGAGCCAAGAUUCAUAAACGACUUAGCACAUAAUUCUAUAUCACUUGAGGGUAAGAAUUAUGACCUAUUUGUUGACUAUAGUAGAUGACUUGAUGACUUGGCAGCUAACAGAUGACAUGGUAGAUUUGCAGUUAAAGAUUGAUGACAUGGCACCUGUGGUUAUUAUUGUUAUAAGUGUUGGGUCAAGGUAGUUAGAAUGGUUAGGAUAAUCUGUUAGUAUUCUCAAGCUAUAUAUAUGCUGAGAUAACAAUGUAAGAAGUGUGGAAAAUCAUUUCAGAAAAUAACAAACUCUCAUUUCUCUUUCUCUCUCUAAGCUUUCGAGCCUUUCUUGCUUCCAUUGAUUUCUUCAUUUGUGAUUUCUUUAUUGAUUUCUUCAUUUGUGAUUUCUUUAUUGAUUUCUUCAUUUGUGAUUUCUUUAGUACUGUUAUGAUGGUAUCAUUUGCCGAGGUAUGAUCCUAGGAUCGCUUUCCGUUGUGCUUCCUGAAAGGAUUUCUGGGUGCAUUCAUCUCACGCGUUCAAGAUUUUAGUGUUUUUGAAGUUCAAGGGUUUCGCAUAUAUUUUCUUGAUGAAUUAAAGGCCGAUGCCAAAGUUGCAAGGAACAUUCAAAGGCCGAAGCCAAAGUUGCAAGGAACAUUCAAAAGUUUUCUGUAGUUUUUCUAGGUUUUUCUGCAUUUCAUAAGGCCGAAGCUGAAGUGUAGUGUUAUUCAGAAGUUUGUUUGAAGGAAUUUUCUAGGAAUCUCUUGUGCUUGGUUUGUAAUACAUUUUCUUGGUGUUCAACAAUGUUUGAGUAUGUGAAGAUUGAAGGAUUA